rnacentral:rRNA from 1 species
CCUACGGGGGGCAGCAGUGGGGAAUAUUGGACAAUGGGCGAAAGCCUGAUCCAGCCAUGCCGCGUGUGUGAAGAAGGCCUUCGGGUUGUAAAGCACUUUCAGUGGGGAAGAAAGCCUUGGGGCUAAUACCCUCGAGGAAGGACAUCACCCACAGAAGAAGCACCGGCUAACUCCGUGCCAGCAGCCGCGGUAAUACGGAGGGUGCGAGCGUUAAUCGGAAUUACUGGGCGUAAAGCGCGCGUAGGCGGUCUGAUAAGCCGGUUGUGAAAGCCCCGGGCUCAACCUGGGAACGGCAUCCGGAACUGUCAGGCUAGAGUGCAGGAGAGGAAGGUAGAAUUCCCGGUGUAGCGGUGAAAUGCGUAGAGAUCGGGAGGAAUACCAGUGGCGAAGGCGGCCUUCUGGACUGACACUGAUGCUGAGGUGCGAAAGCGUGGGUAGCAAACAGGAUUAGAUACCCCAGUAGUC